CUAUCAUGUCCUCACACGGACACCAAUCUCGAAGCAAACGCAAGAAUUCCGUUUGCUCAUAGGUUGGCCCUCAUUUCAAAUGCACUUUAUCAGGCUUUAGAAAAAAAUUGUGGUGGGAAUUUUGUGGAUUCGACAAACGCGAACUGCAGUGAGGAUUUGACAGCGUACAAUGAGCUAAUUGAAUUGAUCAGCGAAACAAAUGUUCUUGACCCUGUUUGCACUUUCAUU